rnacentral:rRNA from 1 species
GAUGAACGCUGGCGGCGUGCCUAAUACAUGCAAGUCGAGCGAACGGACGAGAAGCUUGCUUCUCUGAUGUUAGCGGCGGACGGGUGAGUAACACGUGGAUAACCUACCUAUAAGACUGGGAUAACUUCGGGAAACCGGAGCUAAUACCGGAUGAUAUUUUGAACCGCAUGGUUCAAAAGUGAAAGACGGUCUUGCUGUCACUUAUAGAUGGAUCCGCGCUGCAUUAGCUAGUUGGUAAGGUAACGGCUUACCAAGGCAACGAUGCAUAGCCGACCUGAGAGGGUGAUCGGCCACACUGGAACUGAGACACGGUCCAGACUCCUACGGGAGGCAGCAGUAGGGAAUCUUGCGCAAUGGGCGAAAGCCUGACGCAGCAAUGCCGCGUGAGUGAUGAAGGUCUUCGGAUCGUAAAACUCUGUUAUUAGGGAAGAAAAUAUGUGUAAGUAACUGUGCACAUCUUGACGGUACCUAAUCAGAAAGCCACGGCUAACUACGUG